CUCUUACCCAACCGCGGGGAAGCUGCUUCGUAGCUCGAGUUUUGGCUCUUCACUGGUUUCCACGGAGGCGCCGCGCCGUGGGAAUCCGGCCACCUCUUUUCCCGGGUCGCGCGUAAAAGAAAUGGGCUGUUAAAAAAAAGCACCCCCCUUUCUUCUAAUUCUACCCCAAACCUGCGGGGGGAGGAGGAGAAGGGCCAGGGGAAACUACAGAAGGAAGAAGAAAGGUCUGUUGGAAGGACAGAGCGACGUCCAUGCAAGACAGAUGGACGCAAGACUUGGAUAGAACUCGUGAUUUCUAUAUUUGGUGCUUUUACGAGAGGCGGGCGCGGUUCUCCAAACGGCUCCGUGGAGAGGAGGGGGCUGUCAUUAAUCUAAUGAGAGGCUGGGGAGGGUUGGAUAUACACUCCCCUCCUCUAAACCCCCCCCCCAAAUAACCCCCACGGGAGAGUCUCCAAGUUUGCGGGAAUGAAACGCUGGGAGAAAAAAAAUAUAUCAGGAUUUGGCUAGCGCCUUUUCCGACGAA